rnacentral:tRNA from 1 species
UGGGUAAAAGCUUCCCACAUUAAAGCAACUGGCUGUUAACUAGUAGACCGCGAUCAACUCGCUUACCCGC